UUGACAGCCCUGUAGACUGAGGUCCUCUAAGUAUUCACAGGCCAGGUUCAGAAAGACAUUUGCACUGCAAGGUUACACACAAGAUUCUGACAAUAUGCUUCCCCUUGGAACUGGAGGGAACACUUCCAAGGAUGAGAGGGUACUUCAGUGCCAGAGCUAGCCCAUUGUGGACCCUU
ensembl:misc_RNA